UACGUAGGUGGCAAGCGUUGUCCGGAAUUAUUGGGCGUAAAGCGCGCGCAGGCGGUCCUUUAAGUCUGAUGUGAAAGCCCACGGCUCAACCGUGGAGGGUCAUUGGAAACUGGGGGACUUGAGUACAGAAGAGAAGAGUGGAAUUCCACGUGUAGCGGUGAAAUGCGUAGAGAUGUGGAGGAACACCAGUGGCGAAGGCGACUCUUUGGUCUGUAACUGACGCUGAGGCGCGAAGGUCAGGGGAGCAAACGGG
rnacentral:rRNA from 1 species